UAUCAUCCCUGCCCAUUAGAGUGAACAAUAUUAGCAAAGGCACUGAGAAGGAAUAAUCUUGGCCUGUUUAUCGAACGUAGACACAGGGUUUCACCGUGUGAGCCAGGAUGGUCUCAAUCUCCUGACCUCGUGAUCCACCCGCCUCGGCCUCCCAAAGCGCUAGGAUUACAGGUGUGAGCCACUGCGCCCAGCACACUCUUCAAAAACUCUUGAACAAGAUAUGAUGAGCUUCUGCGUAGCGAAUGCAUCUUUGUGCAGGGAGGGUGGUGUACCUUAACUCCACAAAGGAUCAAAGCUUCUACACUCAGGACCCUUCUGGACCUUGCCCUAUGCACCUCUUCAUCUAUAUCCUUUGGAAGUUCCUGUUAUCACUGGCAUCUCAACAUCUGGAAAUCCCUGAAUGAGUCCAGCUUUUUAAUUUAACAGAAUAGAAGUGAGGCCCCUGGCAGGGAAGUGUCUUGCCCAAGGUCACAAAGCUGGUUAGCAAAUAAGGGCAUUGGACCUGAGAACUUGAUGCCCACGCUCCCUCCUGCCCUCCUCCUCUUCUCAGGGCACUGCACUGGAACACUGGGUGUUCCUCACGUGAUUGGGUGAGACCCAUGAAAUGCAUGAGGAGAAUAAAAGUCUCGUGUUGACAUCAGCGACCAAGGG
rnacentral:lncRNA from 1 species